rnacentral:rRNA from 1 species
CGUGUAGGCGGCAGUGCAAGUCUGGUGUGAAAGGCUCCGGCUCAACCGGAGAAGCGCGCUGGAAACUGUGCUGCUUGAGUUUAGGAGGGGGAACUGGAAUUCCUGGUGUAGGGGUGAAAUCUGUAGAGAUCAGGAAGAACACCGGAGGCGAAGGCGAGUUCCUGGCCAUAGACUGACGCUGAGGCGCGAAAGCGUGGGGAGCGAACA